AGCAAACACAUUUUAAUAAUAAAAAAUCAUCACACUAUCAUUUUAUCACUUUAUGGCAUGUAUAAAUAGACUCAAGCGUGCUACGUUAGUCCUAGAAUCGACUAAACCGUAGCUCUGAUACCAAUAAAAUGUAACACCCCUAUCCUGUAACCGUCGCCGGAAUAGGUAAGGGGCAUUACCGGACUUGUAACACAUAUCAGAACAGUAAAAUUUUGAACUUUUUCUUGAAAUAAAGAUCAUUCAUUU
rnacentral:lncRNA from 1 species